GUUUUAUUUUCCAGAUUUAAGGAAUCCUGUUCCUCUUUUCUCUUAAGCUAUCCGUAACUUACAGCAAUUUGGUAAAGUAUAUCUUUGUGAACAGAGAUGAAAUAUUUAUUGUUUUUCCCUACCUGGUCUUUUCAAAAUUUGUAAACUAUUAUUAAGUAUUCUUAUCAUCCUGGCAAUAUAAUUAUUUGCAUAAGUUCGAUAAGAAUCUGUUCUCCUUGUAACAGAAUAGAAUUGGAAAAAUUAGUUGUUUUACUAAGGCUUUGACUGGAAUGUCAUAUCAGAAAAUGAUGUGCAUAGAAGCUGGCUUUAAGAAACAACAAUAGAUUUUAUGGGGUCGAUGCUUACAAAGCCCUCUUGGGAAACCUGGCCUGGUACCUGGCUCAUAGCGUUCCCAGUUUUACAUCUACGUAAGGAGAUCACUUUUUGGCAGGCUCAGGAACCUCAGGAUAUUGUGGGAAUCUCAAGAAAAGAGGAAUUCUCUGAAAUCUGUGGUUACCACAAGAGAAAUCUGGUGGUGAGUUCUUGGCUUGGCUUCCUGGGCUCAAGGGGCUUUGAAAAAAUCUAAUCUAAAAUUCCUUAUUAAAGGUCUACUUGGUCAAUGACUCUUGCUGCACUUAUGUAAAUAAUCAGGCUUAAUCUAAUGAGAUUAGAUUCAUUUUGUAAACGAGGUCCAAAGGAGGGUGAUUGUAGAAAUUUUGUUUCCGUGGAAAAUUAUCAUGCACCCUUGUGGGCAUUAGAUUAUAAUCCUGUUCAUUUGAGUGAUUUUUUGCCUCUUUGUAAACUUCAUUUUCUCCCUUGUUAUCCAUGUAUAAACUGGACUAUAUCCUGAAUUAUUCUAGUUUCUUCCAUAUCUGGUUACAAUUCUCCAAACUAAUGUUUCCAUUUUUUUCCCACUCUCCUGACUUGGCAUCGCUGAUAAUUAAAACUUCCCUUUUCCUGAAGCAUUACAAGCUGAGGCUAGAUGAGUUAUCAUAAACUACCAAAAAAAUCACAGCAGAUCAUGUACUGACAACCUCCAUGCCUGCUGCUGUUUGGGCCACUCAGGCAGUUCACCCAAACACCCAAUGCCAUCACCAAAGACAUCCCAGUUACAAGCCAGGAUAUUUGUCAGAUGACCACUGCUGUCCUCCUUCUACCGCCUGAAGAGACUUGGAGCACAACAUUUUAAAAUCUUUUUGACUGGCUGCUUUUAGGACUCAAAAGCUGGCAUGACUAAUAAUCUUUGUUUUUAUUCUGUUUCCACAGAAAUUUUCCUCAUUAAAUGCCUGAAUGCUUGCACCAUACAGCAAAUAUCUUCUGCUAUUAGGUCCCAACAGGUGACUCAGCUGGCUGUUAAUGAACAGUUUGGUCAAAGGUAUUCAGUAUCCUGCUAAUUGUAAUCCGAUCUCCCCUGGAGAGAAAAUGAAGCUGCUCGCCUUCAUGAUUUUGUCUGGAAUCUGGAUGAUCUUUUGCCUGGACAAUGGUCAACACGCAAUUUGGCUUUGAAGAGUCGGGCCCACAAUCUCAAUUGUGAUACAGAGAAGAGCCCACAUUUCUACUCAGAUUUUUGCUAUAAAGAUAGACUUCGUAUCUAAAAUAAUAAAGAAUUAAUUGAUACCUCACGUAAGUUGAAUCAUGCAAUCUGUCCUUCUGUGACUAGCUUAUUUCACUUAGCAUAACUCCCUCUAGGUCCAUCUAUUUCACCUAUAUGAUGUAUCUAAGAUACUUAAAUGCAUAGAAGCUGAAAAUAGGAUGGUGGUUGCUAGGGGUUGGCAGGAGGGGAAGAAUGGGGAAUUGUUGCUCAACAGGUAUAAAAUUUCAAUUAUGCAAGAUGAGUAAGUUCUAGAAAUCUUCUGUACAACACAGGGACUAUAGGUAACAAUAUGGUAUUAGAUACUUAGUAAUCUGUUAAGAGGAUAAAUCUCAAGUUGACUGUUCUUAUCACAAAACAAAACAACAUAAAAUAUAAUGACAAAAGCAAAAUAUAAAAGAAUACAAGGAAAUUCUGGGAGGUGAUGGAUGUGUUUAAUAACUUGAUUUCGGUGAUGGUAUCUCUGAUGCAUGACUUGGUCCAAACUGAUCAAACUUGCAGUAUGGUUUUUCUGUAUAUUAAUUAUACCUCAGUAAAGCUGUUAAAAAUUAAUUCAUGCUGAUAUAAACUUUAAAAAAUUUGAGAUGCAAUUAAAAUGCAAGAUUUAAAGAAAUGUGAACACUGGUUGAAAAUUAGUGAGAAAACAUCUAAUUCUGCCAGUCAUCUCUGUUUCUCAUUUAUGUCAUGCUACUUCUAUCUAGAUCAGAGCAAACUCAUUCUGAAACUGUCUUGCUUUUAGGUUCUGUCUUUCCAGGACCCAUAGCCAGGAGCUGCUUUCCACUUAUAGACACAAGUGGCUCACUCACUCUUCUAGGUGUUAGCUAGCAGGGGCAGAGCUUUCUCAGGUAUUUUAGGAUUUGUUGUUGGAAGGUCUCUGCUAUGUUCCUGAAAAUUCAUUUUAUCCCCUUUUUCCUUUGCGACAUAGAAAGAGGAAGAAACAGUUACGUAGAUUGUUCUGUGCGAAUCCUCUUAUAAUUUUUAUCACCACAAUCACCAGCUUCCCUGCAGUUUCAUUUCACUUUUCUUUUACCUUAUUAGUGUGUUAUUGUUAAUUUAAACAUAAAGAUAUGACUUACUCAUUAAACACUGCUCUGCUGGUUCCCCUAGCAAUGGUCCUAAAAGGUUUCCAGAUCAUUUACAAACCUACAUCUAAUUCAAUCUGAUUUUAGUUACAGUCCAAACUUAUUAUUACAUACGUUUUAAAGCAUAUUUAAACAUAGCAUCAUUUGUAGUUUAAAAACAGAGAUGUAAAAUAACUUUGAAAAGAGGAAACUGAAGCUUUGUAAUCAUGUAGAUAUACUACCUGAAUGACUUACUGAUAAUUUCACUUUUUAAGUACCUUUUACUAAAAUUAGCCCGUAUGUUUUUGUUUGGUUUGUAAGGUGUAUAACUGAGUGUCAGAUCCUUAAGGGCGCUCAGUCCUCAUGGAGUUUAUAAUCAAGUAAGAGUCAGGUGAUCAUUUCACUGCCAUUACAAUAUUCAUCAAAUAUAAAUGACAUUCUUUAAAUUCACCUCUGUUAGACUGACUCACUGAAAUCAAACCUUGUCAUUCCCUAGGGAACAUAUUCCAAUUUAUGGCCAGGAUGCUGAAUGCUCACAGCUAGUAAAUUAUUUUUUACUAAGUUGCAGUGAGGCACCUGCUUGCUAAGAAUUAGUUGUUGGUUCCCAAACCUAUUUAUGCCAGUUGUAUAUAUUUCUGUAAUAAUACAUUAUAAACAAAUAUUAUAGAAACUAAUGACCUUGUGAAUAAAAGAGUGUCUUAUUUCUAUGAAGACUAAGUUGAAGUCUUUUGAAAGGUUAUAAUAAAGGUAAUAAAAAUAAUCAUAUUAAAUUAUGUGUGGGCAAGAUGACUACAAAA